GGAUAUGGCGAAAUUGGUA
rnacentral:tRNA from 1 species